UACGGGGGGGGCAAGCGUUGUUCGGAAUUACUGGGCGUAAAGGGCUCGUAGGCGGCCAACUAAGUCGGAUGUGAAAUCCCCAGGCUCAACCUGGGAACUGCAUCCGAUACUGGAUGGCUUGAAUUCGGGAGAGGGAUGCAGAAUUCCAGGUGUAGCGGUGAAAUGCGUAGAUAUCUGGAGGAACACCAAUGGCGAAGGCAGCUUGCUGGGACGGUACUGACGCUGAGGCGCGAAAGCGUGGGGAGCAAACAGG
rnacentral:rRNA from 1 species